GACAGAGGUGCCAAGCGUUAUGCGGAAUCACUGGGCUUAAAGCGUGUGUAGGCGGAUUUGUAAGUACCUUGUGAAAUCCCACGGCUUAACCGUGGAACUGCUCGGUAUACUGCGAAUCUUGGGCCAUCUAGGGGCGAGCGGAACAAGUGGUGGAGCGGUGAAAUGCGUAGAUAUCACUUGGAACGCCAAUGGUGAAAACAGCUCGCUGGGGAUGUGCCGACGCUGAGACACGAAAGCCAGGGGAGCGAACGGG
rnacentral:rRNA from 1 species